rnacentral:rRNA from 1 species
UGUGAAACUGCGAACGGCUCAUUAAAUCAGUUAUAGUUUAUUUGAUGGUACCUUACUACAUGGAUAACUGUGGUAAUUCUAGAGCUAAUACAUGCAUAAAAGGCCCUUCACGGGGUUGUAUUUAUUAGAUAAAAGAAUGGGCUUCGGCUCUACUGGUGAAUCAUGAUAACUGCUCGAAUCGCAUGGCCUUGCGCCGGCGAUGCUUCAUUCAAAUACCUGCCCUAUCAGCUUUCGAUGGUAGGAUAGAGGCCUACCAUGGCGAUAACGGGUAACGGGGAGUUAGGGCUCGACUCCGGAGAGAGGGCCUGAGAAACGGCCCUCAUAGCUAAGGCUAGCAGCAGGCGCGCAAAUUAUCCACUCCUAAUACAGGGAGAUAGUGACAAUAAAUAACAAUAGAGGGCUCUUUUGGUCUCUAAUUGGAAUGAGUACAAUUUAAAUACCUUAACGAGGAUCAAUUGGAGGGCAAGUCUGGUGCCAGCAGCCGCGGUAAUUCCAGCUCNAAUACGUAUAUUAAAAUUGUUGCGUUAAAAAGCUCGUAGUCGAACUUCGGCCCUUGUCAGCCGGUCCGCUUAUAAUGAGUGUGUACUGGAUCUGGCAGAGGCUUUACCUCCUGGUGAACUGGCAUGGCGUUAACUCGUCGUGUUAGGGAACCCGGACAUUUACUUUGAAAAAAUUAGAGUGUUCAAAGCAGGCAUGUUUGCCCGAAUAUAUUAGCAUGGAAUAAUAGAAUAGGCGUGCGAUCCUAUUGUGUUGGUCUUUAGGAUCGCCGUAAUGAUGAAUAGGGGCGGUUGGGGGCAUUUGUAUUCAAUUGCUAGAGGUGAAAUUCUUGGAUUUAUUGAAGACAAACUACUGCGAAAGAUUUUGCCAAGGCGCUUUCAUUGAUCAAGACGNAGGUCGGGGGGAUCGAAAACGUUAGAUACCGUUGUAGUCUCGACAGUAAACUAUGUUGACUGAGGAUCAGUCGGGGUUUUAUCAAUGACCCGAUUGGCACUCAAAGGAAAUCUUAAGUGAAAUUCGCGGGGGAGUACGGUCACCAAGGCUGAACUUAAAGGAUUGACGGAGGGACCACCAGGAGU